rnacentral:rRNA from 1 species
GACGAACGCUGGCGGCGUGCUUAACACAUGCAAGUCGAACGGUAAGGCCCUUCGGGGUACACGAGUGGCGAACGGGUGAGUAACACGUGGGUGAUCUGCCCUGCACUUCGGGAUAAGCCUGGGAAACUGGGUCUAAUACCGGAUAGGACCCUGGGAUGCAUGUCCUGGGGUGGAAAGCUUUUGCGGUGUGGGAUGGGCCCGCGGCCUAUCAGCUUGUUGGUGGGGUGAUGGCCUACCAAGGCGACGACGGGUAGCCGGCCUGAGAGGGAGACCGGCGAAGCGGGGAGGGAGAGACGCCCAAGCCCCCCGCGGGGGGCAGAAGGGGGGAAUAUUGACAAAUGGGCGAAAGCCUGAUGCAGCGACGCCGGGUGAGGGAUGACGGCCUUCGAUUUGUAAACCUCUUUCAGUAGGGACGAAGCGCAAGGGACGGUACCUACAGAAGAAGGACCGGCAAACUACGUGCAAGCCGCCGCGGUAA